UCUAGGUUGAUAUCAGAGAUGCACAUGACCUGAAGGAUCUGCAUGUGAUGCCAGUUGAGCCCCAGAAAGGCAGUGCGACCUCAGAAUUGCUGAGCAGAAAAAAGACUGCUGGAGAAGUAGCUGGAGUGAGAAUCAAGACAACCAGAUCACAGGACUGGACCUUCCAUAAUCCACGUGAUACUGGUGAAUUUCAGUUAACUUGGCGAUUCUCCUCCCUCUAA
rnacentral:lncRNA from 1 species